GGAAAUAAUGAUUACCGUGCUGUUUGAAAAUUAAAUGUAGGUCUGCUCUUAUGGCACCUGAUUUAAAAAAACUUAACAGAAUGCUAACAGGCAAUAAAAGUAAUGAUAUUUUUUGCUAAUUGGUUGAUUUUGUGCUGAUGUGUGCUGCUGCCUGUAUAAAUUAUUAAGAUAGAGAACACUUUGUAUUAUAUGUGUGUUUAAUUGAAUUCUGAAACUUCAGUGGAAUUAUAAAACCUUGGCUGUUUUAGGUAAAUUUUGGAAAUAACAAAUUCAUUUUCUUUCUUAUUACCUGAAUGUGAUAGGAUAAAAACAGUAAGGAUAACAUGUAUAUAGUGACUACAUAACCAGUGUUUUUACCCUUUUGUUAUGAUUGCUGCUAUGUGAAAUUAAAGAUACUAGAUUGAUGUAGCUAUGUAAUCAGCAUUUUGACUCUUUGUUAUAAAUCAUUUCUGCUGUGUAAAGAUAAAGAUGGGUAGAUUAAUAAAAAAUUGUUUUGAGAAAGAA
rnacentral:lncRNA from 1 species